GUAAUUCCAGCUCCAAUAGCGUAUAUUAAAGUUGUUGCAGUUAAAAAGCUCGUAGUUGAAUUUCGGGAUUGACACAUCGGUCGUGCCUUAAGGGGUAUGAACUGGUGUAGUCAAUUUCUCACCUUCUGGAGAACCGCGAUGUCCUUAAUUGGGUGCCGCGAGGAACCAGGAUCUUUACUUUGAAAAAAUUAGAGUGUUUAAAGCAGGCAUUUUUGCUUGAAUACAUUAGCAUGGAAUAAUAAAAUAGGACGGCAUGAUUCUAUUUUGUUGGUUUCUAGGAUCACCGUAAUGAUUAAUAGGGAUAGUUGGGGGCAUUAGUAUUCAAUUGUCAGAGGUGAAAUUCUUGGAUUUAUUGAAGACUAACUACUGCGAAAGCAUUUGCCAAGGAUGUUUUCAUUAAUCAAGAACGAAAGUUAGGGGAUCGAAGACGAUCAGAUACCGUCGUAGUCUUAACCAUAAACUAUGCCGACUAGGAAU
rnacentral:rRNA from 1 species